AUGCUGUCAGUUGCAUUGUGGAUGGGAAACGGAAGCCCAUAUCCAUGGAAACCUAUCAUCACGAGGACCACCCUGCACUUGUGUAUUCAAAGGUGCUUGUUUCACCUUUGCCCUUGCAACAUGACUGUAAUUUUCCUGAGGCCUCUCCAGCCAUGCUUCCUGUACAUUCUGCAGAACUGUGCAGGUGAUUGGUGUGUGAAUACAAUACUUUUGGAUAUCCAGCAUUCUGCCAACAGUGGAAAGUUGGCCAGAGACCAAAGAGCCAAGAUGAUCUCAGGAGGGCUGAUCCAGAUGGAAGCAUCCAGAAAUCAUCAUUUAUAG
rnacentral:lncRNA from 1 species